AUCCACUGGGAGAGAAUUCUUUGCAGGUUUCCGUCUUUGUUAUUCAGGAACAGCUGUAAAAUCUGUAAGGAAGGAAUGGGAAAGAGAGAAAGCAAUGAGAAAGUGAGCUGGAAACGCGUGUUCUGAUUCACGGGCUGGGAGAAGAUCAUUACUGGAAGACAAGACUACUGCGUAACACAGGAAGGAAGGGCAAAGGCCACGAGAAAGACAGUGGAACGGGAAGAUCGGAAACAAUCGCGGAGAGGCACAACACGGAGGGCUACGAAUGGACAGCAGGAAAGCAGAGUCUGAGCUCCUGCAGGCCGGCUGAGAGGGCAGAGCGCAGCCUUGCUGAGGAGGCGGCGCCCCAGGCGUGGGGGGAGGGGGCGGGCGGGAUCAGCCCUGGGAGGCGGGAGGCGUCCGGGACCAGUGGCGCACCUCGCCUGCACCUCGGGGUUUUCGGCUAGGACAGCCCGAUGGUGUGGAGAAAAACAGUGCUGGAGAUUCACGGAGAGUCGUGACAAACCGAAUUGCUCACUCCCCAUUCUAUUAUUUCCUUUAUUACAGGAGGUGGGAAGAGCAGCAACAAAAGGGCAAAAAUGGGAAAUUUCAAGGCACAGUGGGGCUGGGAGUGAGUGAAUGUGGUCAUUAAUGCAAGGCUCGUGUUGGCGAGGGAUGGCAGAGAAGACUGGAAAGCUAGGGCAGAGUCAGCCUGCGCCAGUGCUCAGAGGUUAAGGCGAGGAGCUGGGCUCCAGCAAGGAGAACGGAAGGGUUUUCAGCAGCAAAGUAAAAUCGUGAGCCUAGUCCUAGUGUUUUAGGGGGGAUCAGUUUACCAACUUGGUAAGAGUCGCUGGGAAGGGAGAUAAGUGGCAAGAAAGCAAGCUAGCCCAUGUGAUGGUGCACACCUGAAAUCCCAGCAUUUGGGAGGCUGAGGCAGGAGAAUCGCUGUGAGUUCGCGGUCAUCCUAGGCUACAUAGUGAGACUCUGUCUCAAAAAAAGCAACAGCCGGGGAUUUAGCUCAGUGGUGCCGCCAUCUGCCUUGAAAGUGCAAGGUCCUGAGUUUGAUACCCGGUACCAAAAAAACCCCCCAAAACAAAAAAAGUAACUCAAAAAAAUAACAACAGGGCUGGGAUGUAGCUCAGAGGUGUUGCACCUGCCUGGCAAGCGUAAAGUCCUGAGUUCAAUUCCUGUACCGAAAAAACAAAAACAACAAAGUUAGAAAACUAAGCUGCAUAGCACACAGCAAAGGCCUUAAAACAAAACAAAACAAACCUUGCAAGUAUUACCAUGGAACUGCUGCCUGCAAUUUGAGAACUCUUAAAGAAUAGAUAAACCCUGGAAGAUUUAGACAAGUGAUAUUAAAAGCUGUCAUGAAGUGAGCAACUUUCUUCUGCCACACCCUCCCACCUUGAUGUUUCUGCCUCACACAGAUCUAAAGAGAUGGAACUAGCCAACCAUGGACUGACACCUAUGAAACCAUGAACCACAUAAGCUUUUCUUCCUUUAAGCAGAUUGUCAUGGUUAUUUUGUCUCAGUGACAAAAAGCUGGUCAACACACCUAAUUCCAUCAAAAGUUAUAGGUCAAAGAGGAAGGGCAUCACAUCGGCACUUUCUGAAAGCUGUCUCGGAAACAGAGAUUGUGACGGAUUGUAUUCUUCCAGCCUUCUUGGAGCUGUCCCGAAGAAAGGGGAGUGCUGUGAAUCUGCUCGGUCAUGAGCAGGUGCGACUUGGUGAAGGAGAGAAAGCACUUGUUCCCCAUGUCCCAGGCCAGGAGCCCGGGGACCUCGCCAUGGAGGCUGGCCCAGAAGUCAGAGUCACGGAGCUUUGUGGCCACCGUGGGCGAAGGAGUGGAGCGCAGGUGGGGAGCUCGGCCCCACGCCCACGCCGCUUCUUAAGUAGUCGGCGGUCCAGGUGCAGGCCAAGCAAGCGGCGCAGAUGCCCGAGCUCGCCACUGCCCCGAGGGCUCUCUGUGCCCUGGUCCUCGGAACUCAAAGUUUGAGGAUCCAGGAGGACGCACAAUAUGUAUCUCACACCUUUUCUCCCCUGGCGCCGCACAAACCUCUCAGAAGGAUCCUGCAGCAGGGCUAAUAGCGGCUUCCUGAAAGUUCUAAUAGGUUUUAUGGUUUAUCUAAGAUCGCAUCUAUAGUAGGCGGUGGAGCUAGCCUAAGAGUCUAGUUUUUAAGUGUUCUGACCAUGAAUAAAUUAUAAAUAUGUGAGCUAAAACAUUUGUUAGAUUUAGCCAUUGCACAACACGUCUGGCCUGGAUUUUGCAGUGAUCCUUUUGCGUCAGCUUCCUAAGUGCUGAGAUAACAGGUGUGUGCCACCAUGCCUGGUUUUGUUUAUGUAUUUUACACUUGAUCUUAGCCAAAAGGCCGAGAAGCGAUUGUUGUUUAUGUAUUUUAAAACAUCGUGUUUUUACCAUAAAUACUUUGGGUUUCUCAUAUAAGAGAAACAUAUUUAAGCAUUUGUGUCUGAUUUAUUUUACUUAACAUUAUGGUCUGUAGGUAUAUCCAUUUUCCUACAAAUGACUCAAAUUUAUCCUUCUUUAUAGCAGAGUAGUACUCCUUAGUAUGUAAAUACCACAUUUUCUUUUAAAUGUUAAUGGACAUAUAAGAUGCUUCAAAUAUUCAGCUAUUAUGAAUUGUGUGUGUAUAUAUAUGUAAUUUUUUGCAAUUAAAAUAAACAAGUAAAGAAAUAAAGGACAUUGAGAAGUUGAAAGUAAAUGGAGCCAGGUGUGGUAGUGCAUAUCUAUAAUCCCAGCACUUGGGAGGCUGAGGCAGGAGGAUCUCCAUGAGUGUGAGGCCAGCCUGGGCUACACAGUGAGUUCAAAACCAGCCUGGACUACACAGUGAGACCCUGUCUCAAAAAAAAAAAAAAAUUGAUCUGCUGAUUACCUCCC
rnacentral:lncRNA from 1 species